ACUCGCAUAGUCCAGUGGUCAAGACACCUUGAAAUCAUCCAUAUAUCUGUUUCAAGUACAUUUAGAUUCCAGGGAGAUGGGAGUUCAAUUCUUCCUGUGAGUA